AUUGAACGCUGGCGGCAGGCUUAACACAUGCAAGUCGAGCGGAGCGAGGGUGCUUGCACCUUAGCUUAGCGGCGGACGGGUGAGUAAUGCUUAGGAAUCUGCCUAUUAGUGGGGGACAACAUUCCGAAAGGAAUGCUAAUACCGCAUACGUCCUACGGGGGAAAGCAGGGGAUCUUCGGACCUUGCGCUAAUAGAUGAGCCUAAGUCGGAUUAGCUAGUUGGUGGGGUAAAGGCCUACCAAGGCGACGAUCUGUAGCGGGUCUGAGAGGAUGAUCCGCCACACUGGGAGUGAGACACGGCCCAGACUCCUACGGGAGGCAGCAGUGGGGAAUUGUGCGCAAUGGGCGCAAGCCUGACGACGCAACGCCGCGUGGGGGAUGAAGGUCUUCGGGUUGUAAACCCCUGUCGAGCGGGACGAACGGCCCGCGACCUAACACGUCGUGGGAGUGACGGUACCGCUAAAGGAAGCCACGGCUAACUCUGUGCCAGCCGCCGCAGUAACAC
rnacentral:rRNA from 1 species